UACGAAGGGUGCAAGCGUUACUCGGAAUUACUGGGCGUAAAGCGUGCGUAGGUGGUUUGUUAAGUCUGCUGUGAAAGCCCCGGGCUCAACCUGGGAAUGGCAGUGGAUACUGGCAAGCUAGAGUGCGGUAGAGGGUAGUGGAAUUCCCGGUGUAGCGGUGAAAUGCGUAGAGAUCGGGGAGGAACACCAGUGGCGAAGGCGGCUACCUGGACCAGCACUGACACUCAGGCACGAAAGCGUGGGGAGCAAACAGG
rnacentral:rRNA from 1 species